UCCGUCACUGAAGCAAACAAGCCUCAUGUUCGCUUCAAGCUGCCUGGCUGCCGGCCGCCAUCUUGGCUGGCAGUUAAUUUGCAUAUUGCCCUGAUUAGCCAAUGGGAAGGGUAGCGGAUGUACGGGUAAUUACCAUGUUUCUCUUUUAUUAGAUAGGAUGGGAGAAGAAAUCCCCUCCUUCCACCUCUAAUCCCCAGCUAAGAUUAUGUAUGCCCACUGUAUUGAGGAGAAUACGGUAAAAUUUUUGUCUCGGUCAGAUGACAAGCCCACCCAUGGCUAGGGGAAAUGAGAUACCACAAUAGCAGCCCCAUCAGAACCAUAGAAAUGUUGGCAGGAUAAGCAGUUCUCUCAAGAAGUGAGUGAGGUAGUGUAAAAGAGAGCUAGGUAAGUUAUAAGGAAUAUUUUUAUGUUUCUUUUGAAAGCUACAAAAAUAGUUUCCAUUAUUCUCUAUUGAUUUCUGAGGAAAAUAAAGUAAAUAUUAAUAGAAAUAUGUUGUUUGUAAGCAAGAAGUGUUAUUCUUGUUUCAGUACCUAUGUGGAUUUCCCUCUCUUCCUCCCUUUUCUUCUAUAUAAUCUUUGUUAACUUUUUAGUAUUGUACUGUGAAAAUGCUUUUAAGGCUUAUAAAAGUACUUUUUAAAAAAUUAUGUUAUUUGUUGACUUCUGUUUCAUUGCUUGCUAGGUUUUUUACUACUGACCAUGAAAGGAAUAAUGUAUUAAGCAGAAGCAAAUCUUAUUUAAGGUGGACACUGCUAGACAAAAGAAAGUAAAUUAUACUGCUGGUUUGUCAAAUAAUAAUGUUUCUUAAAAAGAAAAGUUUCUGCAUUCUUUGAACUUACCUUAACAGAAAAGUUAAUUGUAUUUUAAAUACCAGAAGAAAAAUUGGUAAAUAGCAAGAUGGGGGUCUUAAAAGAGUAAGUCUGCAAUUCUAUUUAAGUAAAUAUGUAAGCCAGAAAAUUCUUCUAACAAUUAUUCCAUAGUUAUUCAUUCAUUCAGUCUGUAAAUCUCUGAGCUUGGUUUUAGGAAUAUAAUAGAAAAUAAGAUAGUUAAGUCCUUGUUAUCAGAGAUUUUACAGAACUAAAAGAUAGUGAAAAGACACAUUGUUAUGUAAUUGUAAUCAUGAAAGGAUUACAUGGUAUGAUGAGAAAGUAUAACAGGCACUUGACUUAGUCUGGGAAGCCAGGGAAAAUUUGAGCUGAUCUCUGAAGGAAUGGUAGCAAUAAAUUAGAUGAAAGAGCAUAAGAGCCUCCCAGGGAUGGAAAACAGAAUGUUCAAAGUGCCUGGACAAGAUGUCAGGAUAUUAAUAGAUUUCAUCAUAAUUCAUACCUAUUUGUAGACUUCUUGUUUAUGAUAUAUGUCAUGUAUUAUUAAUUUAUAAAUCACUUGUAUUACACAUUUAUAUAGGAGCUAAAGGAUUAACUUAAUAUCUGUAAUAUUCUGUUAUAUGUUAUACGUUAAAUGUAUGUUACUAUAUUCUCUGGUGGAAGUGAAAUUUUCUCUAUUUGUAGAAGACAUGAUAUUAUAUAUAUAGAAACCCUAAAGACUAUUAGAAAACUGUUAGAACUAACAAAAUAAUUCAGUAAACUUGCAGGAUACAAAAUCAAUGUACGAAAGUCUUUGGCAUUUCUAUCUACUAAUAUCUGUCAGAGGAAUUAAGAAAACAAUCCUAUUCACUAUUUCAUCAAAAAGAAUAAAAUGCCUAGGAAUAAAUUUCACCAAGGAAAUGAAAGAUCUAUACACUGAAAACUUGACAAUGAUGAAAGAAAGUAAAGAUUCAAAUAAAUGAAAAACAAAAUUUUGUUUAUAAAUUUGACGAAUUAGUAUUGUUAGAAUGUCCAUGCUACCCAAAACAAACUACAGAUUCAAUGCCAUCACUAUAAAAAAUUAUGGCAUUUUCACAGAAUUAGAACAAUUUCCAAAAUUUAUAUGGGACUACAAAAGAUCCUGGAUAGAUAAGGUAACAUUGAGAAAAAACAGACAAGAAAUGGCAAUGGAGUAAGUGGAUGCUACACAGACAUGCUCCCGGCUUUAGUUGUAAUUUGGAAUUACAACUAAAAUACAAAAAAAAAUCCUGAAUAAUCAACUGAAGACUAGCUAGAGAGAACCCUGAUAACUAAUAAUGGAAAGUGGGGACUGCAUAGAGACUGGUAGGAAAGGCGGAGGCAUGAAAGGGCUAGACUGGGUCCUACAGACAGCAGCUGAAGUGCCAGAGAGAUAGCUCAGUUGUGGGGAGUUGCCAAUGAGAACUCUGUCCACAAACUGAGCCCCCUAGCAGAGAGCACCAGAACUGAGAAAAGUGCCCACAUAAUAUCUGACUGUGAAAAGCAGAAUGGUUGCUGUCUGCCAGGGAAAGAUGGCUGGAAAUGUGGGCACCCACUUAAAGGGCCAAUGCACAAAAUUCCAUGUUCAGCCACUCACCUGUGUUCCAGCAGAGGGAGGGAAGAGUGGACUGGAGCUGUGUGAGCAGAAGCCAGGUUGGGGGCCCUAGGGUUAGAGAUCAGAAGGCAGACUCCCAGCUGCCCUGUGCUGAGUCAUCCUUCAUGCUGCGGAGGUCAUCUUUCUCACACAGGCUUUAGCUAUACAGGGGUUUGGGGGGACAGCUGAGCCACCCCAUUGGAAAAAACCUUGCUCCACAGUGGGUGUGGAAUUUCUGAGGCCCAUUAAGAGACUGAGAAUAACAGUUAGCCUCCAGGCAGAAGCAGUUGACCCACAAUGUUGGAAAAACUCUCCUCACACCAGUGGACUAUUGCUUGAGAGCUACUCAAGACAGAAUCCAGUCAGCCUACAGGCAGAGGUGAUCUCUGGAGGUUUUGGGUCUGAUCUAAUUAGUCAGAAACAGCAGUUGACACUGUCCUGCACUAGAGGUUUACAGGCAUAGCAGAUCUACCUAACACAUAGUCACAAACCCAAACAUGCAGCAAAAAUGAGACAAAAAAACAAUGCCCAAAUGAAAGAACAAGAGAAUUCUCCAGUAAAAAGAGAUAAUGAAAUGUAGAUAAGAAAUUUAUCUGAUACAGACUUCAGAAUAAUGAUGGUAAAGAUGCUCAACAGCAUGAGAAAUGAUAUAGUAACUGUGAAAAUGGAAAUAAAGAAUGACAUAGCACAAAGAACACAUUGGAAGGAUUACACAGCAGAUUAGGGGAAGUUGAGGAUCAGAUCAAUGAAUUGGAAGACAGGGUAGAAAAAAAAUCACUCAAUCAGAGAAUAAGAAAAGAAAAAAAAAACAAUUAAAAAACAGGAGGACAGCUUAAGGGAGCUGUGGGACAACAUGAAACAAUAAUAUUUGCAUAGUAGGUGUGCCAAAAGAGGCAGAAAGUAAGCAAGGUAUAGAAAAAAAUGUUUGAAGAAAUAAUGGCAGAAAACUUCCCUAACCUGGUGAAGGGAAAAGUCCUACAAGUUCAGAGGCACAGAGAAUCCCAAGCAAGAAGAUCCCAAAUAGGGCCAUGCCCAGACACCAUAAUUAAAAUGCCAAAAAUUAAAGAUAAAGAGAGAAUUUUAAAGGCAGCAUGAAAAAAGCAAAGAGUUACCUACAAAGGGGUUCCCACAAGGCUGUCAUCUGAUUUCUCAUCAGAAAUUCUAUAGGCCAGAAGGAAAUGAUAUGAAGUACUCAAAGUAAUGGAAAGCAAGGAUCUGAAUCCAAGAUUACUAUAUCCAGCAAGGCUAUUAUUCAAAUAGUCAGUGAAAUAAAGAGCUUCCCAGACAAAUAAAAGGGUAAAGGAGUGCAUCACCACUAAGCCAGCAUUAUAAGAAAAGCUAAAGGGAUUGCUGUAAUAAGAAGAAGAAAUGGAGAGAGAAACUUAGGCAUACAGAAUUAAAAUGGCAAUGAAUAAGUAUCAUCAAUAAUAACCCUGCAGCUGGAUGCAUACAAAAACAUGACCCAACUGUAUGCUGUUUACAAGAGACCCACCUCAGAACAAAAGAUUCACAGAGGUUGAGAGUGAAAGGAUUAGGGAAAAAUUUCAAUGCAAAUGGAAAAGAAAGAAAAUUUGGAGUAGCAAUACUCAUAUCUGAUAAAUAGACUUCAAAAUGAAGACCAUCAUGAGACAACAAAGGUCACUACAGAGUACUAAAGGGAUCGACCCAAUAAGAGGAUAUUACCCUGGUAAACAUAUAUGCACCCAAUAUAGGAGCACAUAACUAUAGGCUCUGCGUGCCUGCCUCCGGAGACCCCCAGUCCCCUCAGCACCCCAGCCUCCUAGGAUUAGCCCGAGGUGCAGGCAAGCCUCAGAUGUCGGCUGCCCAGCCACCCAGGGCUGCCCGAGGCUCAGGUAACCAGGGCCAGCUGAGGCUUGUACUGCCGGCAGUGGCAGCAGCAGAGGUGUGAUGGGGCAUUGCCUUCCCCUGAUCUCCGGGUUGCCUCCUGCCCCUGAGGGCUCCUGGUCUGUGAGAGCGGGCAGGCCGGACUGAGGGACCCCCCUCCAGUGCAUGAAUUUUUAUGCACCAGGCCUCUAGUUUUUGAUAAAAACUCAGCAAAGUGGUAAUAGAGGGAAUAUAUCUCAACAUGAUAAAGGCCAUAUAUGACAAACCUACAGCUGUUGUAGAUAAGAUGCCAGGUGGCGUGGGAGAAUAUUCAGUUGAGCACUCAGAGGAGUCAUAAGAGGAGCCUUUAAUGAACUAGUGCAGUGACUCAGGGGUAUCAGCCUCAAAAGCCUGACUGAUGAAUAUGGAGGAAGCUUUCCUUUUAUCCCUUUUAGUUUCUUUGUCCACAAAUAUGGGUCAGGCUUCUGGACUUUUUGUGGGCUUUGCAGCCCCCUAUGAGUUGGGAGAGGGAAGUGAGAUUACACCCAAAGGCUUGGCCUGGCUGGUGCUAGUGCUGGCAGUCCCCUCUGGGGGUUGUAUAUGGUUCAUGAUAUGGCCUCUGUAAAAUGGGAGUAUUCUGGGAAACAGGUUCUGCAAGGCAGGGCAGGCAUCACGAUAACAAUGGAGUUAAUUAUCUGCUAGUAAGAAUCUCCAUCAGAAUACAGGUUACUGGCACAGAUUCAGAUAGCUAUCCCCCCAAAAGUCUUAUUUUCCACUUCAUUCCCCCCUUUUGAUCCUCAAGCUAGUCUUAGCCUUGGGGAUUAUAGAAGGAAUUGGGGAUAGGGUCGCUGACUGCUCUAGCUGCUUCCUGCUGAGGACGGAUGUCGUUAUGGGGGGUUCAGCAGCUUGAAUUUUUUUCAUCUUCCCUGAGAGGGUCGUAACAGUAGUUCAGUGUCCUGGCUUGUUCUACCAUCUGGAGCUUGAAGGCUUCUAAACAAGAGGAAAUAAAGCAGGUGAGAAAGUUAAGAAUGCAAGGACCAAAUAAUAGUGCAAGGAGAAGCAUUAGGAAGAGCUAGCUAAUGGGAGUGCCCAAGAUGCCUAAUUCCAUAUAUUAUUACAGGAACUCCAAGAUUCUGAUAAUUCCUGUCUUCUUUUUGAGGCCUGGUUGGGUAGUUUCUGGGCCCUGCCCUUACAAUGCUGGACUGGUUGGCAUAAAAAUAGCACUCUUCCUCAAGGAACAUACAUAAACCCCCAUUUUCUGCUGUGAGAAGGUCUAGUCCUCUUCAACUUUGGAGGGUAUUUGCUGCCAGUGAGUCUGUCUGGUCUUGUACUGCAAUAAUGCUCUGAGCUGUUUCUUCUAAGAUGUCUGCAAGGUCUUUGCAUAGGCUUUGAUAGUAGGAAAGGGAAGUUGCCAACCCCCACCCCCCCCCAUCUCAGUGCUCAGGCCUGUAGCUAUUCCUAGGCCAACAAGGAGGUGGGGAGGAGGGCGAUGGCCCUUCGGUUCAAUCAUAGGCAGUGAAUGGAACCUUAAAGGACUGAUUGUUAGGGGCAAUAUCUUUUUCGGGGGCUAGAUUAAACCAGAGUACAGGUCCCAGUCCAGUUGGCAGAUAGACAGAGGCAGGUAUUGGUGCCACAGAGGAAGAAAAUUUCCUGGGUCUCCAGACAGAAGGUAUUCCAAUGGUAAAGAGGUGUGUGAGCUUGCUGUUCUCUUGUUCUAAGAAAGAGAGAGUUCCUGCCAAGGUUGCCCCUGUAAGGAGCUGAACGGGGCUUUGGGGAUGAUUUUGUGUAUCCCUGAGGUAGUGUCUUCAAAGAAAAUAAAUUUCAUGUCAGUCUCUAUCCAGAAUUUAGAGUGUGUGAGCCUGUGGGAAAGGAGGCAAUGACAUGAGGUCUGUUGGUUCAGUGUGCAGUCCUGCCACGAGUGAAACCUUGAGCAGGUGUGGGGUCGGUCUGAGCAGAACUGAGAGGUGUCGGUGGUUGGGAAGGCUGCUGAGAUGGUGGGCCCUGCUGAAAAUCGAACGGGCUUCUGAAAGGGAGCUCUUUGGGUGACAACAUAGUCAGCCCAGUUAGAAGCAGGUUUAAGGUUUAGAGUAAAUUUGCAGAGGUGUUGAUCAAGAUGUCCCAAAGCAUUUCCUUCAGGGAGUUCCUUUUGAUGCAUAGGGGUGACUGAAAUGCUAAGACAGAGUUAGUGGUAACCGGUCCAAGGAUAGGAACCUUGUUGGAUCGGUGUGGUGUUAUAUCGAUUAAAUAAGUUUGGAGCAGCUGAACAGCCUUGCCUGUAAGUGUUCCUUUUGUCAUCUCUGAUUUGGAAGUCAUAGAGUUCAUAGAGUUCAGUAGGUUGGAAUGGAGGUCCUCCGUGUACCUUAUAAUGGAAGGACAGGCUAGAAUCAAAUCAUGUGUGCAGGGAGGUGGGGGCUGCUAUGGAGCUUGUAGAUGAGAGGGGAAGACAGAGCCAGCAGUCCUUAGCCAGUCCAGGGUUGUUCAGGUUGAGGAGGUGAUGAGUUUAGUUGAGGGUUUGAGAGAGAUAGUGAGGACUUAGAAGAUCCUUGAGAGGCAGAGUGUAGACUUGAGAGUGGUCAAGAAUAAGAGAGUUUAGUAACAGUAAGAGAACCAGCCUCAUCUUGGCCGGGGACAGCAAUAAAUUCUUUUGCAGUAGAGGAGGUAGUAAUUUAUAGUGGUUUUGUGUCCCAGCAGGGGCAGAAGAGUUCUCCUCCUGGUACUAGUCUAGGGUUCUGGCGGCACUCAUAUAAAGACAAAAUAAGAAUUAUUAGAAAGAUAAAAACAAUGAUUAUCCAGAAAUACCAGAGCAUAUUACUUUUAGGAGGAGAUAAAAAAGAAAUACUAGUGUAAGGAAGACUUCAGCAGUGUAUUAUCUGAAUUCCUUGGAACAGGUGGUCAGCCACAUCCGCUGUUUUCUUGAGGGUGAUCUGCAGGGGGUAUUUCUGGUCCGAGGGUACCUUCCACUCAGGCUGGGCGUCACUUGGCUGGUGGGCUGCUUUCACCUGGGAGUGGUGGGUCCAGGUGUUCAGUCCUGCAACCUUGAGAGCUGGGGGGUGGUUAGUAUGACUGGAUAGGGUUCCUUCCAAGUUGGCUUAAGGGGCUCCUUUUUCCAAUUCUUUACCCAAACCUGGUCUCCAGGCUUAUGAGGGUGCACAGUCGUUCCUAAAGAGAUGGGCAAUCCGUCGGUCAGUAACCCAUCUGUGGACUUCAAAGAUAGUUUUCCUGAGUCUUUGUAAUUGCUUCUGAGUUUCUAAGUUUUCUAUUUACCCCAAAUCUCCCUUUGGCUGAAUUAAGGGAAGGGGUCUUCCAUAUAGAAUUUCAAAGGAAGAGAAACCUACCCUGACUCUCAGGGCACAGCAUACCCACAGGAGUACAAGAGGCAAGAUAUCUGUCCAGGAUAAGGUUGUCUCUUGACAUAGCUUAGCCAUACAUAGCCUGCUUGAGAGUCCAGUUCAUGUGGUCUACUUUCCUGAGCUCUGGGACCUGUAAGCUGCAUGUAAGUUCCAUUAAAUUCCUAAGGCCUUAGCUACUAGCUGCACUAUUUCAGCUACAUUGGCUGGGUCAUUAUCUGACCCUAUGGUUCGAGGCAUUCCAUACUGUGGAAUUAUGUCCUUCAGCAAUGUCUUAGUGACUUCUCUUGCCUUCUCUGUGUGAGUAGGAUAUGCCUCGACCCAGCCUGAAAAAGUGCAGAUAAAGACUAAGAGAUAUUUAUUCCCUCUACUAGGCCCUCUUUCUGUAAAAUCUACCUCUAAGUCUUUAAAGGGAUCUUGCCCACAGUGCUGAAUUCUCAUCGGUCCUACAGGACCCUGUUUGGCAUUGUUCUGUGCACAGAGGAGGUAGCGCUGAAAAAGUGAGGCACAUAAGGAGGGAAGAUAGGCAAUUAGGUAGUAUCUGCUUAUUAACAAAAUAGAUAAGUUCAUGCUGCUGAAGGAUUACCUUAUGGGCUAACUGUCUGAGACAUAGACCUGAGAGUGUCCACCAACCUUCCUUCAUCUCUUACCCCCUUCCUCCUGGGCCCAUUCCUCUUUCUGAGGAGUGUAUUUUGGAGGUUCAGGUAAUUCAGGGGCCAACAUCUGUGACAGUGCUACUUAUUCUUUAGCAGCCAGCUUGGUUGCUGCAUCUGCACUAUGGUUUCCUUCUGACACUGGAUCAUUCCCUUUUUUGUGACGGCUUCCCAGUGGGUAACGGCCACUUCCUUGGGCUCCCUGACUGCUUCUAGUAAUGUUAGGAUUUCAUCCUGGUUUUUUAUUCCUUUCCCUUCAGCAUUCAGGAGUCCUCUUUCCUUGUGUAUAGCCCCGUGAUUAUGCAGGGUGGCAAAGGCAUAGUGUGAGUCAGUGUAAAUGUUAGCGUGCUUUUCCUUGCUGAGUUCUAAGGCUCUGACCAGGGCCCAGAGUUCUGCCCUCUGCGCUGACUAUCCUUUGGGCAGAGCCUGUGCCUCUACUGUCUCAAAGUCUGAUACUACUGCAUAUCCGGCUUGUCUUUUCCCUUCAUCUAGAAAACUGCUCCCAUCCGUAUAAAAUAUCAGGUCUGGAUUCUGCAGAGUCUGGUCUGUUAGAGCUGGCCAGCUGGAGUAAACCUCCUCUAGAACUUCUAGGCAAUCAUUCUCAGGGGCUCCCUCAGCAACGGGUAAGAAGGUGGCAGGAUUAAGAGUUCUCACUGCUUCUAAUCGUACGUGUAGAUUUUCACAUAGAAGCCCUUGGUAUUGAGUCAUUUGAGUAUGAAUUAGCCAGUGCUGCCCCCUAGCUUCCAUUAGGAUGAUAACAACAUGUGGUACUUUUACAUUUAUCUUUUGUCGCAGGGUAAGAUUAUCUGCUGCUUUGACUAAUCAGGCCAUGGCUACAAGGACCCUGAGACAUGGAGGCCACCCAGAGGCAACCAGGUCAAUCUGCUUGGAAAGAGAGGCUACUGGUCUUUGCCAGGGUCCAAACUCCUGGGUUAGAACUCCUAGGGCUAUCCCAUUGUUCUCAUGAACAAAGAGGUUAAAGUCCCAUGUUACAUCUGGUAGCCCUAGUGCUGGGGCCUCGGUGAGCUUUGCCUUUAUGGUGGUGAAGGCCUUUUCCUACUCAGGACCCCAGUCGAUGGGUGCCUUCUCCCCUCCGUUUAAAGCUUUAUAGAGAGGCUUAGUUAGGUCUGAAAACCCUGGGAUCAAAUUCAACAAAACCCUGCUCCUCCCAGGAAUUCCCGAAUUUGGUGCCGGGUGCUAGGGACUGGAAUAGCACAUACUGCCUGCUUCCUUUCAGUCCCUAGUCCUCAUUUCCCUCAGGUGAUUCGGAAACCUAGGUACUUGACUUCUGUCUGACAGAUUUUUGCCUUUUUCUUAGACACCCAGUAACCUAUUUCAGUUAAGAGUCUCAGAAGGGCUCGUGUUCUUUCCCAGUAUUGAGCUCAUGUGGAGCUAGCCAGUAGGAGAUCAUCUACAUGUUGGAAUAGAAUGCACCCCACAUCCUGUCCUGGGAAUUUAGAUCAGAUGCUAAUGCUCUGCUAAAAAGAGUCGGGGAGUUCUUGAACCCUUGGGGCAGUCUGUUACAGGUUAACUGCUCCUUGGCCCUGUAAUUGGGUUUUCCCACUCAAAGGCAAACAGGGGCUGACUGGAGGGUGCCAACUGAAGGCAGAAAAAGGCAUCUUUCAGAUCUAGACAUGUAAACCAUUCCACCUCUGAUGGAAUAAAUCCCAGAAGAGUGUAGGGGUUUGGCAGUGCCGAAUGCAGAGUUAUAACAGCCUCGUUAACAGCCCGCAGGUCCUGCACCGGGCGGUAAUCAUUAGUCCCAGCCUUUUUGACAGGCAAGAGAGGGGUGUUUCAUGGAGACUGAUACUGUUUAAGAAGUCCUCACUGAAGCAGCUGGUCUAAGUGGAACUGGAUUCCUAGGCGUGCAUCCCUUGGAAUCAGAUAUUGGCAGAUUUUGACAGGCUGUGCCCCAGGCUUCAAGUCAAUUAGUACUGGGGCAAGGUCCUUGGUCAGGCCAGUAGGAUUUCCUUCUGCCCAGACCAGCAGGAAUUCUUCCUCUGAUUCAGGCUGUAAUGGUGAGUCCUUUGACUGGGAGGUAUAAAGUCUCCAUUCUUCCUCCCUGGGCACUGCUAAAGACAGGAUUAUUGGAGAAGUCUCUUCACCUAGGUGCAACUGUGCUGAGCCAUCUGGGGCAAAGGUGAUCUCUGCCCCAUCUCUUGGCUAAAAGGUCUCUACCCAUUAGAGGCCCUGGAUAAUCUGGCAAGUACAGGCAUUCAUGGAUUACUUGAUGGCCGCCAAGUUGGCAUUGGCGAGGGCGGCAGGACGUUCUACUGGUCUGGUUCCCAGUAGCUCUGAUAAUAGUGACCUCCUUUCCUGAGAGAGGAGCUACCUUCUGAGUGACUACUAAGUACUCAGCCUCCAUAUUGACCGUAAAAUUCACAUUCUGGUCCCCAGUUUUUAUUCUGACCAUGGGCUUCUGGGGACCUCUUUGGGGGUGAUUUUUUUUUCAUUUGACACUGAAGGCAAAGGCAAUAAAAGCAAAAAUAAACAAGUUGGAAUAUAUCAAACUAAAAAAAACUUUUGCACAGUAAAGGAAACCAUCAGUCAAAACCAAAUUAAAAUAACAGUGAGAUAUCAUCUCAUACCUGUUACAAUGAUUUUUAUGAAAAAGGUAACAAGUGUUGUCAAGGAUGUAAAGAAAAGGUGAAUCUUGUACACUGUUAGUGGGUGUGUAAUUUGGUGCUGCCACUGUGGAAAACAGUAUCGAGGGUUCACAAAGAAUUAAACAUAGAACUACCGUAUGAUCAGUCAGUUCCAUUCCUGGGUAUUUAUCCAGAGGAAACGAAAACACUAACUUGAAAAGAUCUCUGCACCUCUGUGUUCACUGCAGUAUUAUAAUAACCAAGACAUGAAAGUUACCCAUGUGUCCAUUGAUGGAUGAAUUGAUAAAGAAAAUGUGACAUACACACACACACACACGCACACAAACAGGUGUGUGCGCACAUAUACAUCAUUCAUAAAAAAGAAGGAAAUCUUGAUAUUUGUGACACCAUGGAUGGACCUUGAGGGAAUUAUGCUAAGUGAAAUAAUUCAGACAGAGAAGGACAAAUAACAUAUAUUCUCACUUAUAUUUGGAAUCUUAAACAAAACAAAACUCUGAUACAGUUAACUGGUUGAUGGUUAUUAUAGUGGAGUUUGAGAGAUGGGCCAAAUGGGUGAAGAUGGUCAAAAGGGUACAAACUUCCAGUUAUAAAAUAAAUAGGUCACUGGGAUUUAAUGUACAGCAUGGUGACCAUCCUAUCUAAUAAAAGAGUAAUAUGCAAAUUAACUUUCACUCCAACACAAAGAUGGUGGUGCCCAUAGCCACAAGAUGGUGGCUCCCAGUCCUCUCAGCCCCGCUGGAGUCCUUCAGUCCCAGGGGGUAGCCGCUGAGAGCAGAGCCAGCUUGGCUGUUGCCCUGGUAACCCAGG